UACGUAGGGUCCGAGCGUUGUCCGGAAUUACUGGGCGUAAAGCGCGCGCAGGCGGCCCGCGAGGUGUCACGUGAAAGCCCCGGGCUCAACCCGGGAGGGUCGUGGCAAACCGGCGGGCUUGAGGCCGGUAGAGGUGGGUGGAACUCCUGGUGGAGUGGUGAAAUGCGCAGAUAUCAGGAAGAACACCCGUGGCUAAGGCGGCUCUCUAGUACGGUACUGACGCUGAGACGCGAAAGCGUGGGGAGCGAACAGG
rnacentral:rRNA from 1 species